AAUAAGUGCAGUUUUAGCACGGUUCAUGUCCAAUGUUUGACCAUUCAUCUUAUUUGAAAAAAUAUUAUGAUUAGUAUUUUUAUUGUUAUUAGAUGAUAAAACAUGAAUAGUACUUUAUGUGUGACUAAUUUUUUUAAUAUUUUUCAUAAAUUUUUCAAAUAAGACGGAUGGUCAAAACGCUGAGCACGUAUAUCUAUGGCUACAUUUAUU
rfam:Oryza nivara chromosome 8, whole genome shotgun sequence.